CCGCGGUACUAGACAACGGCGGGGAGACGGGCUGCGCCCCCUGCUCUCCUUUCCCCCUCCCGCGUAGGCACCUCCCAGCGGAGCUUGACUGUCAGUCUACUGGGUUCACCAGCCAGCGUGAGAGGAGCCCCGGUCAGACGGGACGGGACCGAAGUAGUCAGCGCCGGAGCCAAGGGCAGGUAACAGGGACGUACGGACCACGGUGAAUGGAGCCCAAGGCCAUAGACCGGAGCUUCCUCAUCCCCACCUCCCCGUAAUCUGUGCCUUCAUUGUGGAGCAUCCUCUAGGAGCGGGACAGCCAUCUCCAAGAGAACCAGCUUAGGCUGCAACCUGUGGAAGAAGCUUCAGAGUUUCCAAGUACAACGGUCUUUUGAGUGGGACCAAAAGAAGGGUCACAUAAUACUAAAGAUAUUUGUGAUGGUCAAGACUUCAGGACGCUGGUCCAUCUGGUGACCAAUGAUGACUUUGGAGGCCUGAUGGUGAGGUGGGUG
rnacentral:lncRNA from 1 species